rnacentral:lncRNA from 1 species
UUUGAUACUUGGGAGUUGCAUAUCUCCAUAUUUUUAUUUUUAUGCUUACUAUAUCAUUUAAAUUUUUAUAGUAUCUUGCUAUUUAUUUUACUUUUGUAUUUUUAUUUUAAUCGUUAUUUAGUUGUUUACAUUUUUAAAUGUUUACCUUUUAGAUUUAAUUAAUGGUUGAAUUUCCGAUAUUGUUUUUUUGUUCGAUUAGUCGAUUUUUG